UCCUUGUCAGUCCAAGCACACACAACCCAAGAUGUCUCGCUAGCCUUGUCAUUCAGACCCUGAUAUAGUCGGUCACCUUGUCAUACAGUAACCUAUCACCUUGUCUUUCAGACCCUGACUCAGUCGAGACUCGCCACACAUUUUCGGCUGGUGUUGGCUCUGAUACCAAAUGUACGACCUAGCCCACUAGCAACAAUAACUCAUUGGGUCCAACCACCGGCCCAAAAUGCUUAAACCCAGUUAUUAUUACUAGUGUCUAAGUAUCUUAUAAACCCAAUAACAUUCACAUUUCUAUCCGAUGUGGAAUUUUUAGGCUGUGACAGUGGCAUGCAAAUAUAUA
rnacentral:lncRNA from 1 species